rnacentral:rRNA from 1 species
GACGAACGCUGGCGGCGUGCUUAACACAUGCAAGUCGAACGGUGAUGCUCCAGCUUGCUGGAGUGGAUCAGUGGCGAACGGGUGAGUAACACGUGAGCAACCUGCCCCAGACUCUGGAAUAAGCGCUGGAAACGGCGUCUAAUACUGGAUACGAAACUGGCCCGCAUGGGCAUGGUUUGGAAAGUUUUUCGGUUUGGGAUGGGCUCGCGGCCUAUCAGCUUGUUGGUGAGGUAAUGGCCCACCAAGGCGACGACGGGUAGCCGGCCUGGGAGGGCGAACGGCCACACUGGGACUGAGACACGGCCCAGACUCCUACGGGAGGCAGCAGUGGGGAAUAUUGCACAAUGGGCGAAAGCCUGAUGCAGCGACGCCGCGUGAGGGAUGACGGCCUUCGGGUUGUAAACCUCUUUCAGCAGGGAAGAAGCGAAAGUGACGGUACCUGCAGAAGAAGCACCGGCUAACUACGUG